rnacentral:rRNA from 1 species
ACGAACGCUGGCGGCGUGCCUUUUACAUGCAAGUCGAGCGGACAGAUGGGAGCUUGCUCCCUGAUGUUAGCGGCGGACGGGUGAGUAACACGUGGGAAACCUGCCUGUAAGACUGGGAUAACUCCGGGAAACCGGGGCUAAUACCGGAUGGUUGUUUGAACCGCAUGGUUCAAACAUAAAAGGUGGCUUCGGCUACCACUUACAGAUGGACCCGCGGCGCAUUAGCUAGUUGGUGAGGUAACGGCUCACCAAGGCAACGAUGCGUAGCCGACCUGAGAGGGUGAUCGGCCACACUGGGACUGAGACACGGCCCAGACUCCUACGGGAGGCAGCAGUAGGGAAUCUUCCGCAAUGGACGAAAGUCUGACGGAGCAACGCCGCGUGAGUGAUGAAGGUUUUCGGAUCGUAAAGCUCUGUUGUUAGGGAAGAACAAGUACCGUUCGAAUAGGGCGGUACCU